CUUCCAUUGGCUGUCAACAGCCUUUAGAAACUUGUUUCAUGUGUCUCCUGUUACUGGGCAGAGAAUAGAAGCUCAGUCUAUCAGUGGACUGCCUGGGACCAGUGAGUUGUUUACUGUGCGGGCACGUUUGGCGCCCUGCUCCUUCUUUUUCUUCUGUAAUGAAUACGCUAUUGUCCGGUUGGAAUAUUAUCGACGUUUUAUGUUAAAAAGACCCUAAGGAUUGAUUGUAAACAUCGCUUGACAUGUUUCUACGAACGAUGCAAAUGUGAAUGGCCUGGCAACACCACUACUAAUUGCAUCACAAGAGGGGCAUGAGUGCUAUGUGGUGGUACCCCUGAGGCAUGGUGUCAACCCAAACCUGCCCUGUGACAUCAGCUGGCCACAGCUUUCUAUCCACGCAUUCUAUCCGGCCAUAGCAGUGUCCUGGCUAGGCUGAUUGCUGUGACGGACCAUGUGUGUGACCGUGGAGAUAUGGG
rnacentral:lncRNA from 1 species